rnacentral:rRNA from 1 species
AUUGAACGCUGGCGGCAUGCCUUACACAUGCAAGUCGAACGGCAGCACGGGUGCUUGCACCUGGUGGCGAGUGGCGAACGGGUGAGUAAUACAUCGGAACAUGUCCUGUAGUGGGGGAUAGCCCGGCGAAAGCCGGAUUAAUACCGCAUACGAUCUACGGAUGAAAGCGGGGGACCUUCGGGCCUCGCGCUAUAGGGUUGGCCGAUGGCUGAUUAGCUAGUUGGUGGGGUAAAGUCCUACCAAGGCGACGAUCAGUAGCUGGUCUGAGAGGACGACCAGCCACACUGGGACUGAGACACGGCCCAGACUCCUACGGGAGGCAGCAGUGGGGAAUUUUGGACAAAGGGCGAAAGCCUGAUCCAGCAAUGCCGCGUGUGUGAAGAAGGCCUUCGGGUUGUAAAGCACUUUUGUCCGGAAAGAAAUCCUUGGCCCUAAUACGGUCGGGGGAUGACGGUACCGGAAGAAUAAGCACCGGCUAACUACGUG